AGUAAAUAGAUACCCGGGUAGUCCACGCCGUAAACGAUGAGUACAAGGUGUAGGAGGUAUCGACUCCUUCUGUGCCGCAGUUAAACACAAUAAGUACUCCGCCUGGGAAGUACGGUCGCAAGAUUAAAACUCAAAGGAAUUGACGGGGCCCGCACAAGCAGCGGAGCAUGUGGUUUAAAUUCGAAGCAACGCGAAGAACCUUACCUAGACUUGACAUCCCCUGAAUAACGUAGAGAUACGCGAAGCCCUUCGGGGCAGGGAGACAGGUGGUGCAUGGUUGUCGUCAGCUCGUGUCGUGAGAUGUUGGGUUAAGUCCCGCAACGAGCGCAACCCUUAUCAUUAGUUGCUACCAUUUAGUUGAGCACUCUAGUGAGACUGCCCGGGUUAACCGGGAGGAAGGCGGGGAUGACGUCAAAUCAUCAUGCCCCUUAUGUCUAGGGCUACACACGUGCUACAAUGGUGAGAACAACGAGAUGCAAUACCGCGAGGUGGAGCAAAACCUUCAAAACUCAUCUCAGUUCGGAUUGUAGGCUGAAACUCGCC
rnacentral:rRNA from 1 species